CCUACGGGAGGCUGCAGUGGGGAAUAUUGCACAAUGGGGGAAACCCUGAUGCAGCGACGCCGCGUGAAGGAAGAAGUAUUUCGGUAUGUAAACUUCUAUUAGCAGGGAAGAAAAUGACGGUACCUGACUAAGAAGCCCCGGCUAACUACGUGCCAGCAGCCGCGGUAAUACGUAGGGGGCAAGCGUUAUCCGGAUUUACUGGGUGUAAAGGGAGCGUAGGCGGUAAUGCAAGUCAGGAGUGAAAGCCCGGGGCUCAACUGCGGGACUGCUUUUGAAACUGUGUUGUUAGAUUGCAGGAGAGGUAGGUGGAAUUCCUGGUGUAGCGGUGAAAUGCGUAGAUAUUAGGAAGAACACCAAUGGCGAAGGCAGCUUACUGGACUGUAAAUGACGCUGAGGCUCGAAAGCGUGGGGAGCAAACAGGAUUAGAUACCCGUGUAGUC
rnacentral:rRNA from 1 species